rnacentral:rRNA from 1 species
UGAGUAACACGUAUGUAACCUACCUAUAACUGGGGAAUAGCCUUCCGAAAGGAAGAUUAACACCGCAUAAUAUCACGAGACGGCAUCGUUUUGUGAUCAAACCUCCGGGGGUUAUAGAUGGACAUGCGUAACAUUAGCUAGUUGGUGAGGUAACGGCUCACCAAGGCGACGAUGUUUAGGGGGUCUGAGAGGAUGAUCCCCCACACUGGUACUGAGACACGGACCAG